rnacentral:RNase_P_RNA from 13 species
AAGAGGAGAGGAAGAAGCAGAAAGGGAAGCAGCAGAAGAAGAAGGGACGGGCUCUUUUUGUCCGAGUUUUCUUUCUUUUAUUUUGUCUCCUUCUUCUCUCUCUUUUAUUUGUUGGGCGGGUUGAUAAAUUUUUUUGAAGAUUUCUUCCGCUUCCCAUAAAGAAUAUUGAGAAGGAAAAAAAGAGGUCUUCUUUCCAUUCUUUUUCUUUUGAAAAGGAGAAAAAAGAAAAGUAUUAUCUUUCAAAGAAA